GACGAACGCUGGCGGCGUGCUUAACACAUGCAAGUCGAACGGAAAGGCCCUGCUUUUGUGGGGUGCUCGAGUGGCGAACGGGUGAGUAACACGUGAGUAACCUGCCCUUGACUUUGGGAUAACUUCAGGAAACUGGGGCUAAUACCGGAUAGGAGCUCCUGCUGCAUGGUGGGGGUUGGAAAGUUUCGGCGGUUGGGGAUGGACUCGCGGCUUAUCAGCUUGUUGGUGGGGUAGUGGCUUACCAAGGCUUUGACGGGUAGCCGGCCUGAGAGGGUGACCGGCCACAUUGGGACUGAGAUACGGCCCAGACUCCUACGGGAGGCAGCAGUGGGGAAUAUUGCACAAUGGGCGGAAGCCUGAUGCAGCAACGCCGCGUGCGGGAUGACGGCCUUCGGGUUGUAAACCGCUUUCGCCUGUGACGAAGCGUGAGUGACGGUAAUGGGUAAAGAAGCACCGGAUAACUACGUG
rnacentral:rRNA from 1 species